rnacentral:rRNA from 1 species
UACGUAGGGGGCAAGCGUUGUCCGGAAUCAUUGGGCGUAAAGAGCGUGUAGGCGGUCCGGUAAGUCCGCUGUGAAAGUCGGGGGCUCAACCCUCGAAUGCCGGUGGAUACUGUCGGGCUAGAGUGCGGAAGAGGCGAGUGGAAUUCCUGGUGUAGCGGUGGAAUGCGCAGAUAUCAGGAGGAACACCAAUAGCGAAGGCAGCUCGCUGGGACGGUAUUGACGCUAAGGCGCGAAAGCGUGGGGAGCGAACAGG